rnacentral:rRNA from 1 species
GAUGUUGAGUUGGCCCCAGGCCCGAAGGACGAAAUCCAAUGGAAGUUUACGGCUGAUGGAUGCUACUUCGUUGCCACAACAUACAAGAUGCAAUUUGCCGGAUUGAUCAAAUCUAAGAUGCCUACUAUGAUUUGGAAGAUUUUGGCACCUCCAAAGGUCAAGUUUUUCUCCUGGCUCACUCUUCAGGAUAAAAUGUGGAUGGCGAACAGGCUGAUCUGCAGAGGUUGGCCAAAUUGCGGUCCUUGCCAACUUUGCAAGCGUGAACCAGAAAACAGCGGCCCACCUUAUGUUCAAGUGCCGCUUUGCGAUCAGAUUCUGGAAUUUGAUCUAUAG